rnacentral:rRNA from 1 species
AGCGGCGGACGGGUGAGUAAUACCUGGGGAUCUGCCCAAUCGAGGGGGAUAACAGUUGGAAAUGACUGCUAAUACCGCAUACGCCCUACGGGGGAAAGGAGGGGACCUUCGGGCCUUCCGCGAUUGGAUGAACCCAGGCGGGAUUAGCUAGUAGGUGAGGUAAUGGCUCACCUAGGCGACGAUCCCUAGCUGUUCUGAGAGGAUGGACAGCCACACUGGAACUGAGACACGGUCCAGACUCCUACGGGAGGCAGCAGUGGGGAAUAUUGGACAAUGGGGGAAACCCUGAUCCAGCCAUGCCGCGUGUGUGAAGAAGGCCUUCGGGUUGUAAAGCACUUUCAGUGGGGAGGAAAGGUUGUUGGUUAAUACCUAACAGCUGUGACGUUACCCACAGAAGAAGCACCGGCUAACUCCGUGCCAGCAGCCGCGGUAAUACGGAGGGUGCAAGCGUUAAUCGGAAUUACUGGGCGUAAAGCGUGCGCAGGCGGUCUGUUAAGCGAGAUGUGAAAGCCCCGGGCUCAACCUGGGAACUGCAUUUCGAACUGGCAGA